UUCUGUAGGGUGAACCUGCGGAGGGAUCAUUACCGAGUUUACAACUCCCAAACCCAAUGUGAACGUUACCAAACUGUUGCCUCGGCGGGAUCUCUGCCCCGGGUGCGUCGCAGCCCCGGACCAAGGCGCCCGCCGGAGGACCAACCAAAACUCUUAUUGUAUACCCCCUCGCGGGUUUUUUUAUAAUCUGAGCCUUCUCGGCGCCUCUCGUAGGCGUUUCGAAAAUGAAUCAAAACUUUCAACAACGGAUCUCUUGGUUCUGGCAUCGAUGAAGAACGCAGCGAAAUGCGAUAAGUAAUGUGAAUUGCAGAAUUCAGUGAAUCAUCGAAUCUUUGAACGCACAUUGCGCCCGCCAGUAUUCUGGCGGGCAUGCCUGUCCGAGCGUCAUUUCAACCCUCGAACCCCUCCGGGGGGUCGGCGUUGGGGAUCGGCCCUGCCUUGGCGGUGGCCGUCUCCGAAAUACAGUGGCGGUCUCGCCGCAGCCUCUCCUGCGCAGUAGUUUGCACACUCGCAUCGGGAGCCCGGCGCGUCCACAGCCGUUAAACACCCCAACUUGGUGAAAUUUGACCUCGGUUGGGAGUGUACGCACAGGUCACC
rnacentral:rRNA from 1 species